rnacentral:lncRNA from 1 species
GGACGACUUUUAUUUGUUUACAAAGUGAAUGAUUAACCGUUUAUAAUAGGUAGUAUGCACUAAAUAAUCGUCUACUAAUGAAAACCCAAAAAGUUUUUAGCCUAAAAUGUUGGUGUCAUCAACUUGUAGCAGCUUUUACUUGUGUGGGGAAAUGCAUAGAUACAUUGUCAUCAUAUUUAUAUAAGUACCGAGCUGAUUCAACAUCUGACUGGUUCACAUGCAUGUGUCAACAUUAUAUACUUACAGAAAAAGGGAAGAGAAAGAAAGUAAAAACCAUUGAAAUCGAGGCUACUGCGUGACGAAAAAUGUCCAUAAAAUACAGGUUUAGCAGCUUUGAGGGACACAAAGUUAUAACUAAUGUUGUCAUUUGGUUUUUAAUUUUCUCAGUUGUGUGUGUGUGUGUGUGUGUGAGGGAGACUGGAGAACGAGGAGGCCGAUAGAUUGUGUGAGACAAAGAAGAAUGAAGAGUACGAACAAAAACACCAGUCGACUGAACUAAUAGAAAUGGACUAGGUAACUGAAAGGAAAUGAUCAAAGCAGCAGAAGACUUUUUUUUAAUAAAUCCAUUGAAUUGGCGCUGUAAAACGAAUACUAAUUUAUCUUGUAGUGACUGGAAAUGAAAACCAAUAACACACAGAGGAUUCAAAAUUAUAAAAUAUCGAAGAUGAACGAACGUAACAUGAAGAGUGACUUGAGGGUUAGGCCCUUUUCGAUUUCUGCUUAAGAAGGAAAAAGCCGUUUGUUUUUCUGGCUACUUUACAACAGAUUAAAGUUAUUGAAGGAAACGAAGAAGACGUAGGUCGUGCCUUUUCUUUGUUGCCUCGGCGUUGUCUGAUUCAGGCUGGCGGACAUGAAAAGCCUUUUGAGGCUUUUGAUUGGACAGGUGGUGGGUUUUUUGUUUUUUUAAUUCUUACAAUCCAAAGUAUCCUCCAAUGGUAGAAGCCAAGAUGACUCCCAACACGGCCAAACAUAUCAUGAUCAUAAUCUUCUUCUGCAAAUAUCCGCAACACGCGUAACAACAGAGCAAAACAUACACGGACAGGUGUCGAGUAUGUUUUGCCACAAAGGUAAUAGAAAAAGAACAAGAAAAACAGAGAGAGACAGAGACAGAGAAGAUUGGUUAGCUUUUUUUUUUUUUUUUUUUUAUAUUUGCUGGUUUCUACUGAUAAUUCUGGAAGCAAAAAGAAAAUGAAAUACUAAAAUUUUUUCUUUGGAACUCCAGUCACGACAAACGAAACAAGGAAAGAAAACGGAAAAAUAAAAAGGAGAAAAUUAAGAGAAAAGGCAGUUUCCCGAGAUAUUAGUAGCGUCUGCGUCUUUUUAUUAAAGAAAAAUUAGAAGAAAAAAUUGUCUUUUCAACUAUUGGUCUGGUAGUUAUCGUCAGUCAAUUUGUCGCUGUUUUAUACUUAAAUGUACAGCAAAAAAUGUACACAGGCAAAGGUUAAGAUAGAAAGGAAAAUAACAGCCAAUAUCAAGAGAGUGAAAGAAAUUCAUUUUCUGCUUCCUACUACAAGCCCCUUCUUCUUCUUCUACAUAACACACACACACACACAAUACAUGCGCUCGGAAAUAACUCGCUGGGGGCCACACUCAUGAAAGAAUUUUUGAAUCGAAAACGAAAUAAAAAAAAAAAGAAAGAUAUUUCAGUACAUUACAGCCUAAAUAAAAUAGCGAUGAAAACUGUGUGCAUACACAAUGCAGUUCAACUAUAGCGAGCGAGAAAUAAAAUUAUAAAAAAAAAAAAAAAAAAA